CCCCUUUGGAGGGUUUCUUUUCUCUAACCUGGGCCUGAGAUCAAGAAGGUUACCCUUCUGUAAUCUUUCUCAAGAUUCUCUGCUGUAACGAUGCUACACCAAGAGGAUGCUCUGCAGAAGUGACUUCACCAAUGACAUCUCCAGACAAGCUUUUAAUCAAAACUAAUUUGGUCAUCUUGUCAGUCCACUGUGUGCUGUAUGAACUCCCCUACCAUUAGCAGGGCUUAUCAGAUGUGAUCAGCAAUUAAAAAGAAAAACCGAACCAGAGACUAUGAAAAUUUUAGAAAAAUGAGAUCCUUUCAUUCAGGAGUCUACUGAUUGCCUUUGGAAUCCAAGCUAUGUUGAUUGCAUAGUGCCACUUAGUGGCAGAGAAAAGUACAACACUCCACAUGGUGGAGAUGGUAUGUCUGUCUUUCUAAAUUAUUC